CCUUUUAAUCAGAUCUUUCCUCAAAAGCAUCACAGAUCCGGAGUUAACGAUUUUAGUGGUUUUGUGCUUCAGUGCCAGGAAGGACCUUUCCUGGUUGUCAGGUCCUAAGUCAGGGGGAAAGUACAAAGCAGUUAGAAACCGCUUAAGGCCAUAUUUGAGUAACAAGGAAGGUUAGGAAGGAGAACUCCCAGACACUUCCCAUGUAUAGUCCAAAUUUACCAAGAUCGUAAGCAUUGGAGAUCACCUCCUUAUUGGGUACAUCAUUCUUAGAAAAGCUUGGCCAGCAAUAAAAUACAAAACUGAAAAUUGUUAUACAAAACAGAGGAAGUAACAUGACAAUUCCAAAUUGUAUGAUGGUUCUUUUUUUUUUUUAAGAUUUUUAUUUAUUUACUCAUGAGAGACACAGAAAGAGAGGCAGAGACACAGGCAGAGGGAGAAGUGAGCUCCUCGCAGAGAGCCCAAUGCAGGACCUUAUCCCAGGACCCUGGGAUCACUGCGGGACUUUAUCCCAGGACCCUGGGAUCAUUGCAGGACUUUAUCCCAGGACCCUGGGAUCACACCCUGAGUCAAAGGCAGAUGCUCAACUGCUGAGCCACCCAGGCGUCUCUUGUAUGAUGAUUCUAAACCAGGACCUUAGGUCUGAAAGUAGCCAACUGAAAUAUUUAUUGGCACUCCUUUUGACUCAAGAGAGAAAAGUUUUCCCUAUGGAAGCAGACCUUGAGUUGUGUAUCCUCCUGGAAGUCUUCAAUUAAAAAGGCCAUGAAAGCAGAAGAAUCAAAACCACAAGAGCACACAGGAAGAACUAACCAAGUGCAUUUGGGAAGACACAGUGCAAGUAUAAACAUGAAGCAAUAGCUGAUCAACUUUUUGCAAAACAGCAAAACUUCAGACAUUUUAAAACAGUAUUGUUAUCUCAAAAGAACUGUAUGGAACCAAAUGUUAUUGAUAACACAGCCUAUAAAGUUUUAAAUUCAGAAAACAUUAAUUUAAAUAAGAAUCUCUGAAGCUUGGUUAAUAGUUGAGAUUAAAGAAAGAUUUUUGUGAAUUCUGAGCCUUCUGUUUAGAAAAAGCAAGUGAAAAACUAAUAUGUCACAGGAUCAUAAUGGGACUGCUUCAAAAAGGCCAUAGUAAAAUAAAAGAAGUUUCCCCUUUCACAAGGGCUUGAUAAAUUCAAACAGGGGCCUUGUCUUCCCAUAAAAGAAAGGAGAAGCAACAGUGAGAGAAAGGUACGCAGGCUGAUCCAGUUUGGGAAAUCUUCACUUUCAGAUUAAUAGAUGGUGUGCAGGUCCACUCAGGGUUUGGUGCUUUCUUUAGAUGUAUCAUGUGAAUCCAAGGGUCUAUUGCUUGGAGUUUUGUGGCACAAGGUUUGGUUUGCAUUUCCUGACAAGGCCUUUUCCAGUGAGGCAGUGGAGUCUUCUAGAAGUGACUUUUUCUGGUGGUAAGGUGCAAUGCUUAAAGCAUUGAUUUUCAAGAGUGCACUGUGAAAAGACUGCUCCAACCAAGCAUGGUUAUUUUUAUUUCUUUUUUUUUAAUUUUAAGUAUGUUUUUUGUCCUGAGGGUUUUUUAAAAAAUUUUUAUUUAUUUAUGAUAGUCAGAGAGAGAGAGAGAGGCAGAGACAUAGGCAGAGGGAGAAGCAGGCUCCAUGCACUGGGAGCCCGACGUGGGAUUCGAUCCCGGGUCUCCAGGAUCGCACCCUGGGCCAAAGGCAGGCGCUAAACCGCUGCGCCACCCAGGGAUCCCCAGGGUUUUUUUUUUUUUAAGAUUUAUUUAUUUAUUCAUGAGAGACACAGACUGAGAGAGAGGCAGAGACAUAGGCAGAGGGAGAAGCAGGCUCCUCAUAGGGAGCCUGAUGAGGGACCUGAUCCCAGAUCCUGGGACCACGACCUGAGCCAAAGGCAGGUGCCCAACCACUGAGCCACCCAGGCGUUUCCUGAGGGUUUUUUUUUUUUUUUAAGAAUUUUUAAAAAAGAUUUUAUUUAUUCAUUCAUGAGAGACACAGAGAGAGAGGCGGAAACACAAAGAGAGAAGCAGGCUCCCUGCAGGGAGCCCGAUGCUAGACUCCAUCCCCAGAUCCAGGAUCACGCCCUGAGCCAAAGGCAGACGCUCAACCGCUAAGCCACGCAGGUGUCUGUAAAAGAAUUUUUAAAAUCAAAAUUUUGCACCUAGUGGCUCAGUUGGUUAAGCAUCUGCCUUUGGUUGAGGUCAUGAUCCCAGGAUUCUGCUCAGUGAGAAGCCUGUUUCUUCUUCUCCCUCUGUGACUCCCCCUACUUGUACUGUUUCGCAUACUCUCUGUCAAAUAAGUAAAAUCUUUUUUAAAAAUUUAAAAUUUUGGGACGACUGGGUGGCUCAGCAGUUGAGAGUCUGCCUUCAGCUCAGGGCAUGAUCCCGGGGUUCUUGGGAUCGAAUUCCACAUUGGGCUUCCUGCAUGGAGCCUGC
rnacentral:lncRNA from 1 species